GUAUCAAGCUCUGUUCUAAACACUUUUCAUAUAUCAACUCAGUUGAUUAUCACAGUAAUUAGAUGCUAUUAUUAUCUAUACUUCGCAAAUGAAGAAACUAAAGCACAGAGAAGUUAAGUAACUUGCGCAGGUUGGCAAAGAAUAGCUGUAAAUCACUUAGUACAGUAACCAGCACAUUGUGAACUUCAGUAAAUUCUGGCUAUUGUUAUUGUUAUUACUGCUGCUACUGCUGGUUUUGUUUUGUUUUUUGUUUUGUUUUCUUUUGUUCUUUUUAAAUAGCUGGCCAAGGUUAGAGACUAAUGGGAGCGGAAGUGACUGAGCAGAAACAAAGCUCCCAGCCUUCAGAAUUCACCCCCACCUUGCUGCUCUCUCUCUCCUUUCCCAAGGAGAAUCUGAAGGAAGCAAAGAAUAGUAGUUCUAAUAUCCCUCUCUGCCUUCAUAUAGGAUUGUAUUACUGCAGAAACAGGAGAAUCUAUUUGAUUUUUCAAAUAACUUUUCAGAAGAACGUUGCUUAGAUUUUAAAAGUGGGUUACACAGUUCACACCAGGUGGGGAGUUUUACCUACAUCUGGCUCAUAUUCUGGAGUACUAAAUCAAUUUUGUCACAUUCUAUGUAAAGUGGAGAUUUAAAGUUGAUGAUUAUCACAGGCUGGGUACAGUCUUUUCUUGGAGUCUGUCAAGUCUCCCUUUAAAGGUCCACCUUCCAGGACCAUUAUUCCCAGUCCAUGUCCCAACUAAUUACACUUCUUUCCCUACUCUGAAAUUGCUCUACAGCCUUCUAUAACACUAGUGUUUGUAGCUAUACAUAGUAAAGGGAUAAUUCAUGGAUAAUACAAUGGCAGAAUUACCCCAUAAGUACUGUUUGCUUAGUAUUUGUGCAUCACAUGGUCUUCCCACUUUUCUAACUCUUGACUCGUGGUCAGCUGUUAACACACCUGGUCAUUCAUCACCGCAUUUUUGUAGGCUAUUGUUUUGGCCAUUUGAACCUCUUGCUUUCAUUCCACUUGGGCUGGACUUCCUUCUUUUUAUUUGACCUCUUGCUUUACCUCUUGCUGGCAUCUUAAAUAAAUUUUAUUUUUUACUGUGUAUGUGGGUUGGCCCUCUCAGUUCACCAUCUAGCAACAGAGACAUAAACAAAUUAUGAGACAAACGUGAUAAGUGCCAUAAAGAAGAUAUGUGAGAUAAGUGUUAAAGGAACUCUUGUGUCAAGGUAGUUCCAACUUCUAACAUAAUAGCUGCUGUCUUCCUCCCAUGCCAGCUUGGUGUUGUCUGUGGUCUCAGUAAACAUAGCUUCUAUUUAAUUACCUUACGCAGUCAAGAAAAGCUUGUCAGCCUGGAUGUUAGGCAGUGAGCUGCUGAUCAGCUACAGGGCAAGAUCAAUUCACUUGACCUCUUAGUCCCUUCAACUGUAUAAUGAAGGGGUUGAGCUCUAAUAUUCCACUGGCUUGAAAAAAAUCUAUGAUUUGCCCAUCUGGGUCACUGAUAUUCCCCGGAUAUAAGUGAUAUGGCUAUUCUGAAUCAACAUAGCUUCCCACAGCUGACACUGGUCCACUGAAAGCCACUUCCUAUGUAUAGGACUCCAGCUAACUAGGUUUCUACCUAAGAAGUUGUAGGCCCAAAGUGAUCCCUGCUUGUUGAUAUCAGCACUGGAGAAUAUCUACAGCACGUUAAAAUAUUCUUUCACUGGUAUUCUGCUUUAUUCAUGUGCCAACUUCAUAAUAGAGCUUUUAAUUUUAAUAAGACAGACUUGAUGCUCUGCUUCCAUUUCAGAUGACUACAUUAUGGAUAUUUGUGCCCCAUUAUUUCUUUGUAUUCUAUUCCUUGUAUUUUUUUAUGUUCUAUCUCCAAUUAUAAAUAUGUUAUAAAUAGUUCAUGGAUUUCUUUUAGAGGGUAUCAAACCUGUUUCAAGAUUCUGUUUCAAACAUACAAACCAUAAAAUUUAGGAAUAUGUUUUAAUAUCACCACAGUUUUCGAUUACAGAAGGACCUAUUUUUGAAUGGAUACUUACUAAGCACCUACUAUAUACAAGGAGUUCUACAGGGUUGUCAAUAAAUCGUUUGAUCAAACCUGCUACUGGCUUGGGUUUUAGUCUUACAGACUUGCAAACUGAACAUAAAUCUAGUUUUCUUUUUAUAGAUUUUUUUGCUAUGCCUAACAUGCAUUAAAAAUGG
rnacentral:lncRNA from 10 species